GAUGAACGCCAGCGGCAGGCCUAAUACAUGCAAGUCGGACGGGAUUUGGGAGCUUGCUCCUAAUGAGAGUGGCGCACGGGUGCGUAACACGUAUGUAACCUACCUUAAUCAGGGGGAUAGCCUCUCGAAAGAGAGAUUAACACCGCAUAAUAUAUUUUUAUGGCAUCGUAGAAAUAUCAAAUAUUUAUAGGAUUAAGAUGGGCAUGCGGAACAUUAGCUAGUUGGUAAGGUAACGGCUUACCAAGGCUACGAUGUUUAGGGGAUCUGAGAGGAGGACCCCCCACACUGGUACUGAGACACGGACCAGACUCCUACGGGAGGCAGCAGUAAGGAAUAUUGGUCAAUGGGCGCAAGCCUGAACCAGCCAUGCCGCGUGCAGGAAGACGGCCCUAUGGGUUGUAAACUGCUUUUGUACCGGAAUAAACCCUUUUACGUGUAAGAGGCUGAAUGUACGGUAAGAAUAAGGAUCGGCUAACUCCGUGCCAGCCGCCGCGGUAA
rnacentral:rRNA from 1 species